rfam:Branchiostoma floridae genomic scaffold BRAFLscaffold_122, whole genome shotgun sequence.
GUUUACCCGUGUGUGGAUAGUAUUCAGCACCAAGGACAGGCAUGUUUACCCGUGUGUGGAUAGUAUUCAGCACCAUGGACAGGCAUGUUUACCU